UAGACACCAAAGCAGACCAUGUUAAACACCCCAAAAUAAAGGUCCAAACCAAAUGAUCCCUGCUCUAAUGUCUUUGGUUGGGGCGACCGCGGGGAAACACAAAACCCCCACGUGGAACGAGAACACUUCCUCUCACAACCAAGAGCUCCCGCUCUAAUAAACAGAAAUUCUGACCAUCAAGAUCCGGCAAAGCCGAUCAACGGACCGAGUUACCCUAGGGAUAACAGCGCAAUCCCCUUUUAGAGGCCAUAUCGACAAGGGGGUUUACGACCUCGAUGUUGGAUCAGGACAUCCUAAUGGUGCAGCCGCUAUUAAG
rnacentral:rRNA from 1 species